rnacentral:lncRNA from 1 species
AUGGGGUCACCCGCCCCGGGAGAACCUGAGCGGCUGCGCGGGGACGCGGACAAAAGCCGCUUUGUGGAGGCGGCGAGUCCUUCAACGGCGCCACCGUGUGGCAGCGCCGGGAAGCCGCGGCGGCGGCGGGCGCCGCGGAUCCUGAGGCCGUCUCUCGCAAGCCCUGACCUUCUCCCACCUUCUCUGACAGGUUCUACUCCCAUAACGAACUCAUCCUCAGGAAGAUCACCAGUCUGGUGCCUUCAUACACUCACCUGUUCCCAGGGGCCACUUCAGCCCGGCUCUGAGAUUUCACUGCAUACAACCCAUGUCUACAUUUAAGGUUUCAAAGGGUACUUCUGCUUAUUUGUUCUUCUUGCAAAAUACCCAGAUUACUUUUCAGAAUCUCAGUUAAAUCUAAGGCAAAUAACUUAUAAGAAAGGCAAGGGUGGGUCACUGAGUAAUUAUUACUUGAUUUGUCCCCAGCUUGCUUGUAUCUUGGCCCCAUUCUCCAGCUCAGCUUGGCAUAGCUUCUGAGUUGUUCAGUAAAUGGCCCUAAUGUCCACCAGCAGGGUAGCAGCCAAAUGAAUUGUGGUGCAACUAUGAGAUUUAACCCUCGGCAAACGUUAAGAAUGUGUUGAAUGUGCAUGUGUGUUGACACAGGAGAAUGUUCCUGACUUCUCGUUGGGUUGAUAUAUACACUGUUCUUUAUGCAGACAAAAAGGAUCUGAAAUAUGUAAACCAAAAUAUUUAUUAUUUGUGUUUCUGUAAUUUUCAGAAUUUUAAUAAUGAACUCAAAUUGUGAAAAAGUAAUAAUUUUAAAAAUUUAAACUUAAUGAUCAAAGUAAAAAGAUUAAAUGUAUAUUAUAGUUUAUGCUGGGUCCCAUGUGUCUUACAAGGUAUUAUAUUACAAGGGAGGUUUUACUCCCCAGACCUUUCAGGAGGCCUAUAUUCCCCAGAUGUUGUCAUCUGUCAAGGUGCCACUCCUAUUUCAAGACUGAGUUCAGUUGCUCCACUUCUGGGGACUCUUCCUGGGGACUGUAUAAGACUCUUCCAGGUCUGUAUAAGUGCCAUUUCUGACCAUUCCCCCAGGCCACUGGGCCAGCUCUUACCCCAGCAACCAUUACACGUAAUGGUUUUCUCAUAGCACUCCCUGAGCCCUUGUGAGGGGAUUAUUCAGCUCCUUGUCCCUGGGUCUACUUGGCACAGUGAAUAAUGGAUGACCCAGGGGCACCUGGGUGGCUCAGUCAGUUAAGCACCCAACUCUUGAUUUUGGCUCAGGUCAUGAUCCCAGGGUUGUGGGACUGAGCCCUGUCUCAGACUCUGUGCUGAGCAUGGAGCC